rnacentral:lncRNA from 1 species
GCCUGUUUGCUUGAACUUGCUGCUUCUUUUUAGCCAUAGAAUAAUAUUUUCCUCCCAUAAUAAAUUAGAAUAUGCACCAGCUAUUUUUUCAGUAGACUAAAAUGAUGAGAAACACACCUACCAAUGGAACUUAAUCCUACAAAUACAAAUAUAGAUCUUGACAAAUAACACUGCCACACGUUCGGGCAUUAGCACCGGUCGGGAAGGGCCUGUUGCCCCGGUUCCCGAGCCGGUGCUGCCCUUCCGGGACUAAAGGCCCACCCUUUAGUCCCGGUUCGGGCAACCGGGGCUAAAGCCCCCCCCCUUAACACCGGUGUUAAAGGGUCCUGCCAGGGCUGCCACGUUGCACGACCCUUUAACACCGGUUGUACCAACCGGUGUUAAAGGGUUUUUUUUUCUUUUUUUUUUGGUUCACUUCUUCGGUUCUGUUUAUUGUUUAUAUAUAAUAUAUAAUAAUAGGUUUUUCAAUACAUGUUUUUCUGAUACAAUAAUAUAUUUAUAUUACACGCAUAUUAAGCAUAUAUAAAUGAAGAUUAUAGGCUUAGCUUAAUAAUUAAGCUUUGCCUAUAAUAAAAUGAAUAGACCACAUCAAAAAUUAAAUAGAUAUGUAAAAAGCUUUAUAUAUAUAGUUUUAUAUGUACAAAAUUCGUAACACAUAUAUACAUAGAGUUUUUUCUCCCAAUGUCUACAAACGAUACAAAUGAUCAUCAUUGUUUGGAAUAAGAGUUUCGUUGCCGUUGAAGUGAAACUCGCCGUUUGGAUUGAUCACUUGGUCGCGGAGAAAUCCUGCUAUCGUCUCUUGGAUAGCUUUUAUUCGGUCUUGUUGUAGGACCUUUUCCCUCAGCCAUUCCGUCUUUAAUUUGAAAUAAAUAAAAAAGGUAUUAGUUAUCUAAGUUAUUCAAUAUAAUUCAGAAGAUAAUAAAAAGAGACAUGUAACGUACUUUGAGCGUCUCUGUGGGUGUUUGAUUGACUUGUGCCAUCAUGAAUUUGCACACGUAAUAUGCACAUAGAUUGUUCCCCCCUUCUUGUCUUAAACACCACUGUACGAUAUAUAUAUAAAAAUAUUCACGACCACGACAAUAAGAAGGCUAAAAGUUAGCGAAAGUUUGUUAGCUAGUAGAACUUACUUGUGGAUGUAUUAUGUUAAGCGGCGCUUUACAUCCACUGAGAUGUUCACGGUCAAUGAUUCUUUCCCAAACCCUAUACACAGCCAUUAUGGAUCGUGAACUAAUAAUUACAGAGUCAUAUUAUGAUAUUUUUGUAGCUGAGAUCGACAUUACGUACCUUUGAAUAAUGUUUACAUUUGUUGAUAAUUUUCUUGUGGUUUUCUCAUUGAGUCAAAGAUUAUCAACCGGUUCUUGGGAAUUUCAAUGACCAUGAGUAUCCAGUGAAAGCUGUUUACACACAUAUAUAUAGUCAGUCCUAUAAUGUAAAAUAAAAUAUGCACGCACUUAAUAACUAUAUAACUCACUCGAAGUUGAAGGGGAAGAGUAUUUUUUGUUUUUCUUUUUGGUUCACAAAGAACCUCAUAAGAUUGGUGCAGACUUCUGUCUCAUGAUCUGCUG